AGAGUUUGAUCCUGGCUCAGGAUGAACGCUGGCGGCGUGCCUAACACAUGCAAGUCGAGGGAGAAGGUUCACUUCGGUGGACUGGACACCGGCGAACGGGUGAGUAACGCGUAGCUAACCUGCCUUGAAGAGUGGGAUAACUACCGGAAACGGUAGCUAAUACCAUAUAAGCUCACGGAUUGUAGAAAUCAGUGAGAAAAGGCGAUUUAGCGCUUUAAGAUGGGGCUGCGUACCAUCAGCUGGCUGGUGAGGUAACGGCUCACCAGGGCGACGACGGUUAGGGGACCUGAGAGGGUGACCCCCCACACUGGGACUGAGACACGGCCCAGACUCCUACGGGAGGCAGCAGUGAGGGAUAUUGCACAAUGGACGCAAGUCUGAUGCAGCGACGCCGCGUGAGUGAAGACGGGCUUCGGCCUGUAAAGCUCUUUUCUGUGUGACGAGAACGGACGGUAGCACAGGAAUAAGUCUCGGCUAACUAC
rnacentral:rRNA from 1 species